GACGAACGCUGGCGGCGUGCUUAACACAUGCAAGUCGAACGGAAAGGCCCUGCUUUUGUGGGGUGCUCGAGUGGCGAACGGGUGAGUAACACGUGAGUAACCUGCCCUUGACUUUGGGAUAACUUCAGGAAACUGGGGCUAAUACCGGAUAGGAGCUCCUGCUGCAUGGUGGGGGUUGGAAAGUUUCGGCGGUUGGGGAUGGACUCGCGGCUUAUGAGCUUGUUGGUGGGGUAGUGGCUUACCAAGGCUUUGACGGGUAGCCGGCCUGAGAGGGUGACCGGCGACAUUGGGACUGAGAGACGGCCCAGACUGGUACGGGAGGCAGCAGUGGGGAAUAUUGCACAAUGGGCGGAAGCCUGAUGCAGCAACGCCGGGUGCGGGAUGCCGGCCUUUGGGUUGUAAACCGCUUUCGCCUGUGACGAAGCGUGAGUGACGGUAAUGGGUAAAGAAGCACCGGCUAACUACGUG
rnacentral:rRNA from 1 species